rnacentral:rRNA from 1 species
GUCGUCAGCUCGUGUCGUGAGAUGUUGGGUUAAGUCCCGCAACGAGCGCAACCCUUAUAUUUAGUUAUAUUUCUCUAAAUAGACUGCCUUGGCAACAGGGAGGAAGGAGGGGAUGAUGUCAGGUCAGUAUUUCCCUUAUAUCUUGGGCAACAAACACGCUACAAUGGUCGGUACAAAGGGUAGCCAACCUGCGAAGGGGAGCAAAUCCCAUCAAAGCCGAUCUCAGUUCGGAUUGUAGGCUGAAACUCGCCUACAUGAAGUCGGAAUCGCUAGUAAUGGUAAGUCAGCACAUUACCGUGAAUAAGUACCCGGGUCUUGUACACACCGCCCGUCAAGCCACGGAAGUCAGGGGCACCCGAAGUAUGUUCAAUAAGAAUGUCCUAAGGUGAAUUUGAUAACUGGGGUUAAGUCGUAACAAGGUAUCCGUAGCGGAAGCUGCGGAUGGAUUACCUCCUUU